GCAAAUAUAGUUUAACAAAAACAUUAGAUUGUGAAUCUAAAAACAGAAGUUCAAAUCUUCUUAUAUGCC
rnacentral:tRNA from 1 species